rnacentral:rRNA from 1 species
UUUAGCAGCCAUGUCACCCUGCUACUUACAAUUGGCAACCCACUGAAGCUAAGCAGGUGUGAGCCUGGUCAGUACCUGGAUACAAGACCUCCUUGGAAAAACUAAGGUUGCUGCUGGAA